UACGUAGGGGCUAGCGUUAUCCGGAAUUACUGGGCGCAAAGGGUGCGUAGGUGGUUUCUUAAGUCAGAGGUGAAAGGCUACGGCUCAACCGUAGUAAGCCUUUGAAACUGGGAAACUUGAGUGCAGGAGAGGAGAGUGGAAUUCCUAGUGUAGCGGUGAAAUGCGUAGAUAUUAGGAGGAACACCAGUUGCGAAGGCGGCUCUCUGGACUGUAACUGACACUGAGGCACGAAAGCGUGGGGAGCAAACAGGAUUAGAUACCCUGGUAGUCCCUGA
rnacentral:rRNA from 1 species